ACAGCAUCCUCAACUUCAGAAAUUCCCACAAGCACAGUUGUGAGUAAAGAAACCACACCUAUUACUUCAACAGUGGUGCCUACAACUUCAGAGAGUACAACAGCAGAAACCACGACUACAGCUUCAUCAACAAUUUCUACAACAACAAACAAUCCAACAUCAAAAGCUGUAACUUCAGCAUCCACAGCUCUCACUUCAACAACAGUGCCUGCAUCUUCAGAAACAACUGCACCUGUAACAACUUCAGUAACUACAGCAUCCUCAACUACUGAAAUUCCUACAACCACAGUUGUGAGUACAGAAACCACACCUAUUACUUCAACAGUGGUGCAUUCAACUUCAGAAAGUACAACACUAGAAACCACGACUACAGCUUCAUCAUCCACACCUGCAACAACAAACAAUCCAACAACAUCAACAGUUGUACCUUCAGAAUCCACAACUCUCACUUCAACAACAUUGCCUACAUCUUCAGAAACAACUGCACCUGUAAAAACAUCAGUAACUACAGCAUCCUCAACUUCUGAAAUUCCCACAAGCACAGUUGUGAGUAAAGAAACCACACCUAUUACUUCAACAGUGGUGCCUACAACUUCAGAGAGUACAACAGCAGAAACCACGACUACAGCUUCAUCAUCCACACCUGCAACAACAAACAAUCCAACAACAUCAACAGUUAUACCUUCAGAAUCCUCAACUCUCACUUCAACAACAUUGCCUACAUCUUCAGAAACAACUGCACCUGUAACAACUUCAGUAACUAAAGCAUCCUCAACUAUCAAAAUUUCCACAACCACAGCUGUGAGUACAGAAACCACACCUAUUACUUCAACAGUGUUGCCCACAACUUUGAAGAGUACAACAGCUGAAACCAUGACUACAGCUUCAUCAACCACACCUACAAAAACGAACAAUCCAACAACAUCAACAUUUGUAACUUCUGAAUCUACAACUCCUACUUCAACAGUUAUAGCUACAUCUUCAGAAACAACUACACCUCUAACAAAAUCAGUAACUACAGCAUCCUCAACUACUGAAAUUCCCACAACCACAGUUGUGAGUACUGAAUCCAUAACUCUUACUUCAACAGCUAAGCCUACAUCUUCAGAAUCUACUGCAACUGUAACAUCAGUAACUACAGUAUCCUCAAAAACCUAUAUUCCCACAACCACGGUUGUGAGAACAGAAACCACACCUAUCAUUUCGACAGUGGUGCCUACAACUUCAGAGAGUACAACGGCAGAAGCUAUGACUACGGCUUCAUCAACUAUAUUUACAGCAAAGAACACUCCAACAACAUCAACAGCUGUAACUUCAGAAUCCUCAACUCUCACUUCAACAACAGUGCCUACAUCUUCAGAAACAACUGCACCUGUAACAACAUCAGUAACUACAGCUUCCUCACCUACAACUGUACCUUCCUCUAUGACAUCAGCUCCAAUGUCAUCUGAAGCUCCAAGUACAACAACAUCUAAAACCACAUUGCUGCUUGCAACCACAUCUACUGGAGCUCUCACAUCCACUGUUGUGACUUCAGGAGCAACAACUCUUACGUCUACAACAAUGCCUACAACAUCAGAAAGUACAACUACACCUGCAGCAAGCACAACUGCAGCUUCCACAGCCACAGUGGGGCCAUCCACUACUGUGACUACAGCUUCCGAAAUUACAACUGCAUCUUCAACAUCUACAGCUUCCUCAGCUGCGAUAGUGCAUUCUACUACUACAUCAUCAUCUCCAACCUCAUCUGAAUCUCGAGGUACAGCAACUAAUUAUCCAACAACAUCAACAGCUGUAAUUUCAACAACAAUGGCUACAUCUUCAGAAACAUCUGCACCUGUAACAACAUCAGUAACUACAGCUUCCUCAUCUAUAAAUGUACCUUCCUCUAUGACAUCAGCUCCAAUGUCAUCUGAAGCUCCAAGUGCAACAACAGCUCAAACCACAAUGCCACUUGCACCUGCAACUACUGAAACACUCACAAUCACCAAAAUGACUUCAGAAACCACAACUGCACCAACAACAUCGAUAACUACAACGUCCACAACUACCACUGUAGCUUCAACGACAACAGCAGCUUCUCUUGCAACAACCACAACUACAGCUUCCAUCACCACAACCAUUCCUUCCACUUCUACAUCAGAUCAAACCACACCUAAGGCUGCAAGUACAACAUCAAAAGGUCCGAACACAAAUUCAGAAAGUAUAACUUCACCUGCUGUAACCACAGAUUCCACAACCAUGAUGGAAUAUUCAACUACUACAUCAAGUUUAACCCCAGCCACAACUACUGAAACCUCAACUCUUACUUCACCAACAAUGUCUACAACUUCAGAAAGUACUCCUGCACCUGCAACAUCCACCAUUACAGCUUCCUCUUCUACGAAUAACUAUCCCACAACAGAAAAUCCAUCUCAAACCUCAACUUCAAUUCCAGGCACAAACACACCUACAGCGGCAACAACAACUGCAUUCCGAAUAACAACUGCACCUCUAUCAACCACAACUAUUGCUUUCACUAAUACAGCUCCAGCUCUAAGCCAAGCAGGACUCCUUACCACAACAAAUGCACCUCCAAUUAUCACAACUGUGUCUCCGGAGACUGUAACUAUUGCUGUAACAAUUAUGCCUAUCUCAUCAUCACAUGUAACUAUAUCCCCAACUUUAACUCCAAUAAAAACAACUGAACCUCCAAGAACCCCAACUACACCCAUUACAACCAUGACUGUUCUUCCCACCACUACAGUUCCAGCUGAUAUCUCAACUACAGCUCCAACCACAACAACAGCCACUAUUCCAAGUUCAACUGCAGCUCAAACAACAACUGCAUUUCAAGUAACAACAGGAGAUCUUUUAAGAACAACUGUAGCUUUUACCAACACAUCUUCUGCUCCAGCCACACUUGCACUUUCAACCAAAACAACUCCAAUCCCAAACAUGGAUUCAGAAACUACAACUGCAUCAACAACUACAACUGGAAUUAAUACAGGUCUCACCAGUGCAGCAGAAUUUCCAAUAGCUCCAAUAACAUCAGUUUCAAACACAAAUGCAUCAACAUCCCCAGCAUCUACAAUUCCAAGUCAAUCAUCAAUCAAAACAACACCAGCUGAAACUCUUUCUAGCAAUACUACACCUCUAAACAAUGCAACAAAAGCAGAUGCAUCUGCAACACUUCAAAGUACUUCAAGUUUGCAACCAGAAACUUCAAACAUACCCAAAACAUUGUCAACAAAUGUGACUGGUGCAGCAACAGUCACAACCAUAUUGGUAUUCUCAUCCUUGUCGUCAGUGCCCAAUGAAAAUUUGGUCCUAGGUGCUAUCAGUACUCUUCUGGAAUCUAGACAGUCCCAACUCAAUGGAUCACUGAAGAUUGUAAAAUUUACUUAUCAGAAAAUCUCAGAAACCUCCUAUGCUGUGGUCUUUACAUUUAACGUGAUUAACAUCACCAUGCCAGAGGAACCUAAGUCUAGAGGCAACACCAACCAGAAAGUGCAGGAUACCAUCAAUAAUGCGCUGAAUACUCUUCUGAAUGAACCUGGAAGUCCAACUUUACAACCAAAGUCCUCCAACUUCACAAGCACUUCAAACCAGAUUGAUGGCAGGAUGGAAUACACCUUCCAGGAUGGAGAUGUCAUACAACCAGUCAGCUUCCUCAAUGAGCUACGUCUACCAACCACUACAACAGUGUUUCCCGAAACAACAUUUGGUUUCUCUGUGACUCCUUCAAACCUCAUAUCUGGUUCAGCAGUGGUCACAAGCAAGCUGGUGUUCAACUCCUCAUCUCCAGUCCCCAGUGAAUCUCUGGUCCUCAAUGCAAUCAAAACUCUGCGUAAUUCCAGAGAGUCACAGCUCAAUGAAUCGGUGAAGGUGGUGAAUGUCACCUAUGAGAAAAUCUCAGAAACCUCCUAUGCUGUGGUCUUUACAUUUAACGUGAUUAACAUCAGCAUGCCAGAGGACCCUGUGUCUAGAGGCAACACCAACCAGAAAGUGCAGGAUACCAUCAAUAAUGCGCUGAACACUCUUCUGAAUGAACCUGGAAGUCCAACUUUACAACCAAAGUCCUCCAACUUCACGUAAGAUGCGAACUCGCUUCACAGUCUUUACUUCAUGUGUCCUCUUAUUUUAGCUCAUUGAAGCUACGUAAAGUUACAAAAAAAAAUUAGGAUUUGUAAUAAAAAAAAAAAAAAAAAAACUUUUUCAAGAUGUGGAUUAAAGUCCUUAACAAAUAUCUAUUGUUUGUCUUGUAGAAGCACUUCAAACCAGAUUGAUGGCAGGAUGGAAUACAGCUUCCAGGAUGGAGAUGUCAUACAACCAGUCAGCUUCCUCAAUGAGCUACGUCUACCAACCACUACAACAGUGUUUCCAGAAACAACAACCAGUGUUUCUGUUACUACUCCAAACCUCAUAUCUGGUUCAGCAGUGGUCACAAGCAAGCUGGUGUUCAACUCCUCAUCUCCAGUCCCCAGUGAAUCUCUAGUCCUCAAUGCAAUCAAAACUCUGCGUAAUUCCAGAGAGUCACAGCUCAAUGAAUCGGUGAAGGUGGUGAAUGUCACCUAUGAGAAGAUCUCAGAAACCUCCUAUGCUGUGGUCUUUACAUUUAACGUGAUUAACAUCAGCAUGCCAGAGGACCCUGUGUCUAGAGGCAACACCAACCAGAAAGUGCAGGAUACCAUCAAUAAUGCGCUGAACACUCUUCUGAAUGAACCUGGAAGUCCAACUUUACAACCAAAUUCCUCCAACUUCACUAGCACUUCAAACCAGAUUGAUGGCAGGAUGGAAUACACCUUCCAGGAUGGAGAUGUCAUACAACCAGUCAGCUUCCUCAAUGAGCUACGUCUACCAACCACUACAACAGUGUUUCCCGAAACAACAUUUGGUUUCUCUGUGACUCCUUCAAACCUCAUAUCUGGUUCAGCAGUGGUCACAAGCAAGCUGGUGUUCAACUCCUCAUCUCCAGUCCCCAGUGAAUCUCUGGUCCUCAAUUCAAUCAAAACUCUGCGUAAUUCCAGAGAGUCACAGCUCAAUGAAUCGGUGAAGGUGGUGAAUGUCACCUAUGAGAAAAUCUCAGAAACCUCCUAUGCUGUGGUCUUUACAUUUAACGUGAUUAACAUCAGCAUGCCAGAGGACCCUGUGUCUAGAGGCAACACCAACCAGAAAGUGCAGGAUACCAUCAAUAAUGCGCUGAACACUCUUCUGAAUGAACCUGGAAGUCCAAAUUUACAACCCAAGUCAUCAAACUUCACAAGCACUUCAAACCAGAUUGAUGGCAGGAUGGAAUACAGCUUCCAGGAUGGAGAUGUCAUACAACCAGUCAGCUUCCUCAAUGAGCUACGUCUACCAACCACUACAACAGUGUUUCCAGAAACAACAACCAGUGUUUCUGUUACUACUUCAAACCUCAUAUCUGGUUCAGCAGUGGUCACAAGCAAGCUGGUGUUUCAACUCCUCAUCUCCAGUCCCCAGUGAAUCUCUGGUCCUCAAUGCAAUCAAAACUCUGCGUAAUUCCAGAGAGUCACAGCUCAAUGAAUCGGUGAAGGUGGUGAAUGUCACCUAUGAGAAAAUGUCAGAAACCUCCUAUGCUGUGGUCUUUACAUUUAACGUAAUUAACAUCAGCAUGCCAAAGGAACCUGUGUCUAGAGGCAACACCAACCAGAAAGUGCAGGAUACCAUCAAUAAAGCGCUGAAUACUCUUCUGAAUGAACCUGGAAGUCCAACUUUUCAACCAAAGUCAUCAAACUUCACAAGCACUUCAAACCAGAUUGAUGGCAGAAUGGAAUACACCUUCCAGGAUGGAGAUGUCAUACAACCAGUCAGCUUCCUCAAUGAGCUUCGUUCACAGACAGUCUUAACGACAGCCAGCACUCUGACAACUACUCCACUGAUAGUGCGUGGCAAAGCGCUUAUAUUCAUUCGCCUCGUGUUUGUCACACUGGGCCCCCUGCCAAAUCCAGAGAAGGUUCUUGAGGUGGCCAACACUCUGCUUCAGACGCGUCUCAAAACUAAACAAGACACCAGUACUCAAGACCUGAGUGAUCCUGUGAGCUUUGUCAAUGUCACAUAUACAAAAAUAAAUGAGACGGCCUAUGCUCUCAACUUUGGAUUUGAAAUCAGCAAUAUAACCAUGACAGAGAAGCUUGAACUCAGGAAUGGCACCCACCUGUUAAUACAAGACUCUAUAAACUCAUUGCUGGGCAAGAUCCUUCUCAGUAACUCAUCAGCGCCUAUCAUUAAGUUCCAACCAGCUGAUUUCACGGGUAAUUCCACAGUAAUUAAGGCCAAUGUAGAGUAUGUUUUCUCACCAAGUGACAUCACGCAACCCAGCAUCUUUGUUCAGGAACUUCUCCAACUUAAUGAAGCGAGCACUCUGACAAGCACAACUUCACCACCGAUCUUGACUAGGAGGGCAAUUAUUAAGAUUCGUCUGGAGUUUAUCACACUGGGCCCAAGACCAAGUGAGAGUAAUGUUCUACAGGUGGUUAAAUCUAUGCUGGCCACAAAUCUCACAACUAAACUAACCACGAGAGUAACAAGCGUGAGCGAACCUGUGACCUUGAAUAAUGUUGUGUAUAUCGGAAUUAAUGACACCGCCUACGCACUGAUUUUUGCAUUCGAAAUGAACAAAGUAUUACUGACAGAGAUACAAAGGCAAGAAGCCUACAAAGAAAUCCAAAACAAGAUAAAUGAUUUGGUGAAGCAGAUACUAAAGGACCCCUCGGUUAAUCUGCUCAUUCCAGCCGAUUUCAAGGAUGAUCUCCUUGUGAUCGAGGCCAAUGUUACGUAUGUUUUCUCAGAACGUAACAGUAACACGGGCUCCGGUUUCUUGGUCAGUGCCCUUUUCAAGGCUUUUACCACACCAGCUCCAACCACCAUGAACACUACAAUCUCAAACAACAGUACUAAUGCAGCAUGGAUUGUGGCUAUCAUUGUCCCCUGUGCUAUUGUCAUCGGGCUCGUACCUUGCUGGAUUCUCCUUUGCUGUUUGCUGUGUGGUUGCUGUGCAGCAAUCAGAAGACGCUGGCACAGAAGACAGUCGUACAAUGUGCAGUACACCACUCGAAACAGUCUCUUCUAAAGAGUUCUGAGAUAUUUGACAAAAGCAGGACUGAAAACCAAUGAGAACAUAAAAAUCAUGGAUUUUGGAUAUUCAAUAUGCUAUCAAUACUGCUUCUUUUGUAGUAUUGAAAGUACUAUGUUAAUGCUUCUUUAUAAACUAUUUAUUUUAUUAUCCUAGACAAACAGGUCCUCCAUAAAAUAUUCCUUAAUGUGACAUUUUAAUACGUCCUAUAGUCUAUAAUGAAAUUGUAUUAUUGUUAUUUAUUUGUAUUUAUUUGUAAUAUUCUGUUUAUGUUUACAGUUAAUCUUUUGCAAAUCAUUAAUCUGCUUGACAUUACACAUUUUAAUUUAAAGGGACAAAAGGUAGAACAUUAGCUAUUAUUUAUUCAUACUCCAUGCACUUUAACUUUAUAAAUGUAAAGGAAGCUUGUGAUGUAAAGGAAAUGCAAAAAAAGCUCAUUUACGUAAGUCAUUGGCAUGAACAUGUUAAACUGAAAAAUAAAUAAGAAUAAAAACUGUAAUUAGACAAUACUAGAUCAAUAAAGAAU
ensembl:lncRNA